UGGGGAAUAUUGCACAAUGGGCGCAAGCCAGAUGCAGCCAUGCCGCGUGUAUGAAGAAGGCCUUCGGGUUGUAAAGUACUUUCAGCGGGGAGGAAGGGAGUAAAGUUAAUACCUUUGCUCAUUGACGUUACCCGCAGAAGAAGCACCGGCUAACUCCGUGCCAGCAGCCGCGGUAAUACGGAGGGUGCAAGCGUUAAUCGGAAUUACUGGGCGUAAAGCGCACGCAGGCGGUUUGUUAAGUCAGAUGUGAAAUCCCCGGGCUCAACCUGGGAACUGCAUCUGAUACUGGCAAGCUUGAGUCUCGUAGAGGGGGGUAGAAUUCCAGGUGUAGCGGUGAAAUGCGUAGAGAUCUGGAGGAAUACCGGUGGCGAAGGCGGCCCCCUGGACGAAGACUGACGCUCAGGUGCGAAAGCGUGGGGAGCAAACAGGA
rnacentral:rRNA from 1 species